rnacentral:tRNA from 1 species
AAUAAGAUGCCUGAAAAAUAGGACUAUUUUGAUAGAAUAGAACAUGUAAUUAUUUACUCUUAUUA